UGACCGACAUCACGACAUCGGGUAUAUACGAGACGAUGAACCGAUUUUUAAGGAUGAAGAAGGAAGAUUUCUUCCAUUUACUGUCCCUUGUUGGUCCAAAAAUUGCGAAAAUGGACAAAGAUUUCCGCAAAGCAAUCACGGAACAGGAAAGGCUGCUGAUAACUGUAGGGAUCGAGAGCAGGAAGGAAAAUAAAUAUAUAUCAUAGAUUGGAAAAGUGCAAGUAACAACCAUUUAAUGAUGAUCAGAUAAUCAGAUAGGAACAUACAAAUAUAAGUUUAUUAAGUAGAAACAUGAAAACAGUUACGAUAGAAUAUCGAUUAACGAAAAGUAUCGGCGCAUUCAAAAUAAAAAUCAGGUUAAACGCAGAGAGAGUGAGAUAGCGAGAGGCGAUACAUCCGUUCGUACGGAAGUGUCAAAAUAGGAGGCUUUUCGAGGAGAGGAGGAAAAUCGUGAGUCUUGUAAUUGAUCUUAGCAAGAAUGGAUGCAACUGCUCGAUUGGACAGAAUAAAAAGCUGUUAUUAUUAAAAGUAGUAUUUCGGAAAUCACCACAAUAACAUUGCGGUAUCUUGCGACUGGAGAGACAUUUACCAGCCUCCAGUACGUGUUCCGGGUAAGUAAUAUUAUUUUUGCUUUUUGCUUUUUGCUAAGCACACUUUUAUCAAUCAACAUUUAAUUUUAGGUGUCGAGGCAUUCUAUCAGCAGAAUAGUUAAAGAGCCGUGCGCAUGUCUUAUCGAGGCUUUGCGGGAUUAUGUCAAGCUACCCUCUACCGAAGAAGAAUGGCUUGCAAUCUCAAGACGAUUUGAGCAGCGCUGGAGAUUUCCUCACGCAAUAGGUGCAAUCGAUGGGAAGCACGUUGAAAUUAUUUGCCCUCGUAAUAGCGGAUCCGAAUAUCACAACUAUCAAAAAUUGUUGAGUAUUGUAUUAAUGGUUGUGGUCGAUGCUGACUAUAACUUUUUAUGGGCAGAUGCUGGUGGUAAGGGAGGAAUAUCGGACGGUGGAAUAUUUAAAAACACACGGCUGUAUCACAAGCUAGAAAACGGCCAACUAAACAUUCCACCAGCAACGCCAUUGCAGGUCUUGUACCAAACCCCAGUCCCAUACUUUAUUCUCGGUGACAAGGCAUUUGCCUUUACCAAUUACUGCUUAAGACCGUACAGCGGGGUACAUCAUCCUGAUUCAGUGGAGCGUACAUUCAACAAAAUGCACUCUACUUGUCGUAUGCCAGUUGAAAAUUCGCUUGGAAUAUUAGCGAAUCGAUGGAGAGUGAUCAAAGGCAUACAACUGCAGCCGGAUGUUGCCAAAAGCAUUGUUUUGACAACAGUUUACUUGCACAAUUUUUUGCGCAAGCAUGCUUCGCGGGACACAUACACACCUCCGUCUGCAUUUGAUAGGGUUGUUCGCGGGCGACGUGUCGAUGGAGAUUGGAGAAGUGAAGGGGGCUUGACCGAUCUCCAAAACAUUGCUUCCCGACCUUCAGAAAAUCUUGCUGACAUAAGGAACCACAUUGCAAACCAUUUUAAACAUAAUCGUUCUACGUAAAUUCAUCCAACCAAUACCAUGGAUAUUAAAAUUAAUAAUAAAUUAUGAAAUCGCAAACACAA